AAAGUAUUUCUUCCUAUAAACAGAAAAUAAACUUUUUUUUUUAACUUUUCAGUGACACAACUGGUACACAUUUUACUGAAAUGAAUUGACUUUUAUUAAAGUUUUUCACAGUGAAUGUUUAUUGUCAUUGAAUCACCAAGGUCUAAAGAAAACAGAAUGCAAGCCAGAAAACGGCGUCGGGAAGAGCAGUAACCACAUGUGAGAGGACGCCGUUUGGAUCACAGUGCAAAUAUUGGAGGGAGACCAGCUACUAUUUGAAGGGGGAGAUGACAUGAAGACCAACAGUGGGACAGAGAAGACUAAGAAAAAAAACUCCUCCCUGUCCAAGAAAUUGAAGAAGCAGCUUUACUGCAUGACAUCAUAACAGCAGCCAAAUGGUCCAGAACACCAGCGUUUCCAGGAAGAUGGUCCCUGCCUGAUGUUAUAAAGAUGGAAGACGGGAACUCUGAAAGAACUCCA